rnacentral:rRNA from 1 species
GACGAACGCUGGCGGCGUGCUUAACACAUGCAAGUCGAACGGAAAGGCCCUGCUUUUGUGGGGUGCUCGAGUGGCGAACGGGUGAGUAACACGUGAGUAACCUGCCCUUGACUUUGGGAUAACUUCAGGAAACUGGGGCUAAUACCGGAUAGGAGCUCCUGCUGCAUGGUGGGGGUUGGAAAGUUUCGGCGGUUGGGGAUGGACUCGCGGCUUAUCAGCUUGUUGGUGGGGUAGUGGCUUACCAAGGCUUUGACGGGUAGCCGGCCUGAGAGGGUGACUGGUCACAUUGGGACUGAGAUACGGCCCAGACUCCUACGGGAGGCAGCAGUGGGGAAUAUUGCACAAUGGGCGGAAGCCUGAUGCAGCAACGCCGCGUGCGGGAUGACGGCCUUCGGGUUGUAAACCGCUUUCGCCUGUGACGAAGCGUGAGUGACGGUAAUGGGUAAAGAAGCACCGGCUAACUACGUG